rnacentral:rRNA from 1 species
UGGAGCCUGCGGCUUAAUUUGACUCAACACGGGAAAUCUCACCAGGCCCGGACACCGGAAGGAUUGACAGAUUGAGAGCUCUUUCUCGAUUCGGUGGGUGGUGGUGCAUGGCCGUUCUUAGUUGGUGGAGUGAUUUGUCUGGUUAAUUCCGAUAACGAACGAGACUCCGUCCUGCUAAAUAGUCGCCGCGUUGCUUUUCUCUGCGCGGCGUAUUCUUCUUAGAGGGACUGGCGGCAUCUAGCCGCACGAGAUGGAGCAAUAACAGGUCUGUGAUGCCCUUAGAUGUUCUGGGCUGCACGCGCGCUACACUGAAGGGAUCAGCGUGUGUUUCCCCUUCCCGAGAGGGACGGGUAACCCGCUGAACCCCCUUCGUGGUAGGGAUCGGAGCUUGCAAUUGUUCUCCGUGAACCAGGAAUGCCCAGUAAGCGCAAGUCAUAAGCUUGCGUUGAUUACGUCCCUGCCCUUUGUACACACCGCCCGUCGCUACUACCGAUUGAACGUUUUAGUGAGGUAUUUGGACCGGGCCUUCGGAGGUUUGCGCCUCUGUUGUUGCCUGGGAAGACUCCCGAACUUGAGCGUUUAGAGGAAGUAAAAGUCGUAACAA